GAUGAACGCUGGCGGCGUGCUUAACACAUGCAAGUCGAACGAACCAUAUUCGUAUGGUUAGUGGCAGACGGGUGCGUAACACGUAGGUGACCUGCCCUCGAGUGGGGAAUAACUCGACUAACGUCGAGCUAAUACCGCAUACGUUCGCUCCUUCGGUGGAGUGAGUAAAGCAGUAAUGCGCUUGGGGAUGGGCCUGCGGCGGAUUAGGUAGUUGGUGGGGUAACGGCCUACCAAGCCGAUGAUCCGUAGGGGGCGUGAGAGCGUGGCCCCCCACAUUGGCACUGAGACACGGGCCAAACUCCUACGGGAGGCAGCAGUGAGGAAUAUUGCACAAUGGGCGAAAGCCUGAUGCAGCAACGCCGCGUGAGGGACGAAGGCCUUCGGGUCGUAAACCUCUUUUCUGAGGGACGAGCAAGGACGGUACCUCAGGAAUAAGUCUCGGCUAACUACGUGCCAGCAGCCGCGGUAAAACGUAGGAGGCGAGCGUUAUCCGGAUUUACUGGGCGUAAAGCGUACGCAGGUGGCCAUGCAAGUCGGACAUGAAAGCUCCUGGCUUAACUGGGAGAGGUGGUUCGAUACUGCAUAGCUUGAGGUUGGGAGAGGGACGUGGAAUUCCCGGUGUAGUGGUGGAAUGCGUAGAUAUCGGGAGGAACACCAGUGGCGCAAGCGGCGUCCUGGCCCACACCUGACGCUGAGGUACGAAAGCGUGGGGAGCAAACAGGAUUAGAUACCCUGGUAGUCCACGCUGUAAACGAUGUCAACUAGGUGUCGGCAGUUUUACACUGGCGGUGCCGAAGCUAACGCGUUAAGUUGACCGCCUGGGGACUACGGCCGCAAGGCUA
rnacentral:rRNA from 1 species